rnacentral:rRNA from 1 species
CCUACGGGGGGCAGCAGUGGGGAAUUUUGGACAAUGGGGGCAACCCUGAUCCAGCCAUGCCGCGUGAGUGAAGAAGGCCUUCGGGUUGUAAAGCUCUUUCAGCCGGGAAGAAAUCGCAUCAGCUAAUACCUGGUGUGGAUGACGGUACCGGAAUAAGAAGCACCGGCUAACUACGUGCCAGCAGCCGCGGUAAUCCGUAGGGUGCGAGCGUUAAUCGGGAGUACGGGGCGGGAAGCGUAAGCCAGCGGUGAAAUCCCCGGGCUCAACCUGGGAACUGCGUUCGUGACUGCACAGCUAGAGUAUAGCAGAGGGGGGUGGAAUUCCACGUGUAGCAGUGAAAUGCGUAGAGAUGUGGAGGAACACCGAUGGCGAAGGCAGCCCCCUGGGCCAAUACUGACGCUCAUGCACGAAAGCGUGGGUAGCAAACAGGAUUAGAUACCCCAGUAGUC